UCUCCGUAGGUGAACCUGCGGAGGGAUCAUUACUGAGUGAGGGCUCACGCCCGACCUCCAACCCUUUGUGAACCAAACUUGUUGCUUCGGGGGCGACCCUGCCGACGACUUCGUCGCCGGGCGCCCCCGGAGGUCUUCUAAACACUGCAUCUUUGCGUCGGAGUUUAAACAAAUUAAACAAAACUUUCAACAACGGAUCUCUUGGUUCUGGCAUCGAUGAAGAACGCAGC
rnacentral:misc_RNA from 1 species